rnacentral:rRNA from 1 species
GACGAACGCUGGCGGCGUGCUUAACACAUGCAAGUCGAACGGAAAGGUCCUGCGUUUGCGGGGUGCUCGAGUGGCGAACGGGUGAGUAACACGUGAGUAAACUGUCCUUGACUUUGGGAUAACAUCAGGAAACUGGGGCUAAUACCGGAUAGGAUCUCCUGCUGCAUGGUGGGGGAUGGUAAGAUUCGGCGGUUGUGGCUUGACUCGCGGCUUCUCAGCUGGUUGGGCGGGUAGUGGCGUCCAACGGCUUUGACGGGUAGCCGGCCUUGGAGCGUGGCCGGCGUCCUUGCGCCUGCGGGACGGACCAGUCUCCUACGUGCCGCAGCGGUGGAGAGUCUUACGCAGCGGGCGGACGCCUGUUGCGACAACGCCGCGUGCGUGAUGCCGGCCUUCGGGUUGUAAACCACUGUCGCCUGUGACGAGGCGUGAGUGACGGUAACGGGUAAAGAAGCACCGGCUAACUACGUG